rnacentral:rRNA from 1 species
UACGUAGGUGGCAAGCGUUGUCCGGAUUCACUGGGUGUAAAGGGUGCGCAGGCGGAUUUGUAAGUCAGAGGUGAAAUCUCACGGCUUAACCGUGAAACUGCCUUUGAUACUGCGGAUCUUGAGUUCGGGAGAGGUGAGUGGAACUGCGAGUGUAGAGGUGAAAUUCGUAGAUAUUCGCAAGAACACCAGUGGCGAAGGCGGCUUACUGGUCCGGUUCUGACGCUGAGGCGCGAAAGCGUGGGGAGCAAACAGG